rnacentral:rRNA from 1 species
UAGGCUAGGACACUGAGUAAUUCCACGCUUCCUAGAAAAGCCGCGUACGGAGCCCCUUUGGUGAUCGUACUGCAAACCGACUCAGGUGGACGGGGUGAAUAUCCCAAGGCGCGUGAGAGAACCCUGGUUAAGGAACUCGCAAAUUGACACCGUAACUUCGGGAGAAGGUGUGCCGCUGGCGGUUAGUGACUUCGCGUCACGAAGCUGUCGGUGGUCGCAGUGAAAUGGCGGUUGUGACUGUUUACUAAAAACACAGGACUCUGCGAAGUCGUAAGACGACGUAUAGGGUCUGAUGCCUGCCCGGUGCUGGAAGGUUAAGGGGAUAUGUCAGCGCAAGCGAAGCAUUGAACCGAAGCCCCAGUAAACGGCGGCCGUAACAAUAACGGUCCUAAGGUAGCGAAAUUCCUUGUCGGGUAAGUUCCGACCUGCACGAAGGGCAUAACAACAUCCGCACUGUCUCGACCAGGGACUCAGCGAAAUUACAUUGGGGGUGAAGAUGCCCUCUACCCGCGGAAAGACGGAAAGACCCCAUGAACCUUUACUGCAACUUGGCAGUGAUUUUCGGGUUGUUCUGCGUAGGAUAGGUGGGAGGCUUUGAAGCCGGGCUUCCGGGCUCGGCAGAGCCAACGUUGAAAUACCACCCUGAAUAAUCUGGAAAUCUAACCUGCGCCCAUGAUCUGGGCGAGGGACACUGCCUGGUGGGCAGUUUGACUGGGGCGGUCGCCUCCUAAAUUGUAACGGAGGCGUGCGACGGUUCCCUCAGGCUGAUUGGAAACCAGCCGUAGAGUGCAAACGCAUAAGGGAGCUUUACUGCGAGACUGACAAGUCGAACAGUUGCGAAAGCAGGUGUUAGUGAUCCGGUGGUACCACAUGGAACGGCCAUCGCUCAUCGGAUAAAAGGUACUCUGGGGAUAACAGGCUGAUCGCGCCUGAGAGUUCACAUCGGCGGCGCGGUUUGGCACCUCGAUGCCGGCUCAUCGCAUCCUGGGGCUGGAGCAGGUCCCAAGGGUUUGGCUGUUCGCCAAUUAAAGCGGUACGCGAGCUGGGUUUAAAACGUCGUGAGACAGUUUGGUCCCUAUCUUCCGUGGGCGCAGGACACUUGAGAGGAGCUAUCCAUAGUACGAGAGGACCUGGAUGGACGAACCUCUGGUGCUCCGGUUGUCACGCCAGUGGCAUAGCCGGGUAGCCAUGUUCGGAACAGAUAACCGCUGAAGGCAUAUAAGCGGGAAGCUGGCCUCAAGACUAGGUGUCCCUGACGCAAGUCACUAAAGGCCCCUCGAAGACUACGAGGUUGAUAGGCUCGGUGUGGAAGCGCUGCGAGGCGUGGAGCUAACGAGUACUAAUAGGCCGUGCGACUUGACCCC